AAAAAGGGCUUCUGUCGUUAAGUGGCACACGUAGGGCAUCUCUAUUGCUCUACGUGCGGAAUCGACAUCAAGAGAUUUCGGAAGCGUAAUUUUUGUUACCUGGGCUGCUAGUGAUCGUUGGUCCUGGCGCCCUG
rnacentral:snRNA from 15 species